rnacentral:rRNA from 1 species
GAUGAACGCUGGCGGCGUGCCUAAUACAUGCAAGUCGAGCGAACGGACGAGAAGCUUGCUUCUCUGAUGUUAGCGGCGGACGGGUGAGUAACACGUGGAUAACCUACCUAUAAGACUGGGAUAACUUCGGGAAACCUUAGCUAAUACCGGAUAAUAUUUUGAACCGCAUGGUUCAAAAGUGAAAGACGGUCUUGCUGUCACUUAUAGAUGGAUCCGCGCUGCAUUAGCUAGUUGGUAAGGUAACGGCUUACCAAGGCAACGAUGCAUAGCCGACCUGAGAGGGUGAUCGGCCACACUGGAACUGAGACACGGUCCAGACUCCUACGGGAGGCAGCAGUAGGGAAUCUUCCGCAAUGGGCGAAAGCCUGACGGAGCAACGCCGCGUGAGUGAUGAAGGUCUUCGGAUCGUAAAACUCUGUUAUUAGGGAAGAACAUAUGUGUAAGUAACUGUGCACAUCUUGACGGUACCUAAUCAGAAAGCCACGGCUAACUACGUG